rnacentral:sRNA from 1 species
CAACUCCCCAUUAAAUCCCCAUAACCCCCUUUUAUUACCCCAUUUGCCCUGGCCCUAUCCCAU